UACAGAGGGUGCAAGCGUUAAUCGGAAUUACUGGGCGUAAAGCGUGCGUAGACGGUUAUUUAAGUCAGGUGUGAAAGCCCAGGGCUCAACCUUGGAAUUGCAUUUGAGACUGAAUAGCUAGGGUGCGGAAGAGGGAAGCGGAAUUUCCGGUGUAGCGGUGAAAUGCGUAGAUAUCUGGAGGAACACCGGUGGCGAAGGCGGCAUCCUGGACCGGUAUUGACGCUGAGGCGCGAAAGCCAGGGGAGCAAACGGG
rnacentral:rRNA from 1 species